AUGCUAGUUGCAGAUGUUUGCCACUGGAUGGA
rnacentral:piRNA from 1 species